rnacentral:misc_RNA from 1 species
CAAGGAUCUCUACCUUGAAGCAAUCAUUCCCCUUAAUGGAAGACAAGAAGGGCCUGGCCUCUGCAGAGGAACUGGCUGAAGUUGAAGGCUAGGCUUCUCUACUGGCUGCAGUUGACUAUUAUGUGAACUUGCAGAGUGACAUCUUUAUAUCUGCAUCAACAGGAAACAUGCAUAAUGCUUUGGUGGGAUACAGAACUUACCUGAACCUGAAGACCACAAGACCAAACAUGGUGCUGCUGGG